rnacentral:rRNA from 1 species
GGCCUUGACAUACUAAGAACUUUCCAGAGAUGGAUUGGUGCCUUCGGGAACUUAGAUACAGGUGCUGCAUGGCUGUCGUCAGCUCGUGUCGUGAGAUGUUGGGUUAACGUCCGCAACGAGCGCAACCCUUUUCCUUAUUUGCCAGCGGGUAAUGCCGGGAACUUUAAGGAUACUGCCAGUGACAAACUGGAGGAAGGCGGGGACGACGUCAAGUCAUCAUGGCCCUUACGGCCAGGGCUACACACGUGCUACAAUGGUCGGUACAAAGGGUUGCUACCUCGCGAGAGGAUGCUAAUCUCAAAAAGCCGAUCGUAGUCCGGAUCGCAGUCUGCAACUCGACUGCGUGAAGUCGGAAUCGCUAGUAAUCGCGGAUCAGAAUGCCGCGGUGAAUACGUUCCCGGGCCUUGUACACACCGCCCGUCACACCAUGGGAGUUUGUUGCACCAGAAGUAGGUAGUCUAACCGCAAGGAGGACGCUUACCACGGCGUGGCCGAUGACUGGGGUGAAGUCGUAACAAGGUAAGCGUAGAUGA